AACGAACGCUGGCGGCAUGCCUAACACAUGCAAGUCGAACGAGACCUUCGGGUCUAGUGGCGCACGGGUGCGUAACGCGUGGGAACCUGCCUUUAGGUUCGGAAUAACUCAGAGAAAUUUGAGCUAAUACCGGAUAAUGUCUUCGGACCAAAGAUUUAUCGCCUUUAGAUGGGCCCGCGUUGGAUUAGCUAGUUGUGGGGGUAAAGGCCUACCAAGGCGACGAUCCAUAGCUGGUCUGAGAGGAUGAUCAGCCACACUGGGACUGAGACACGGCCCAGACUCCUACGGAGGCAGCAGUGGGGAAUAUUGGACAAAUGGGCGAAAGCCUGAUCAGCAAUGCCGCGUGAGU
rnacentral:rRNA from 1 species